AGUGAACGCUGGCGGUAGGCCUAACACAUGCAAGUCGAACGGCAGCACAGUAAGAGCUUGCUCUUACGGGUGGCGAGUGGCGGACGGGUGAGGCAUACAUCGGAAUCUACUUUUUCGUGGGGGAUAACGUAGGGAAACUUACGCUAAUACCGCAUACGACCUACGGGUGAAAGCAGGGGAUCUUCGGACCUUGCGCGAUUGAAUGAGCCGAUGUCGGAUUAGCUAGUUGGCGGGGUAAAGGCCCACCAAGGCGACGAUCCGUAGCUGGUCUGAGAGGAUGAUCAGCCACACUGGAACUGAGACACGGUCCAGACUCCUACGGGAGGCAGCAGUAGGGAAUAUUGGACAAUGGGCGCAAGCCUGAUCCAGCCAUACCGCGUGGGUGAAGAAGGCCUUCGGGUUGUAAAGCCCUUUUGUUGGGAAAGAAAAGCAGCAGGUUAAUACCCCGCUGUUCUGACGGUACCCAAAGAAUAAGCACCGGCUAACUUCGUG
rnacentral:rRNA from 1 species